GCAGGAAACUGCAUAUCUUCUGGUUUACAUGAAGAUGGAGUGCUAAUGGAAAUGCCCAAAACCUUCAGAGAUUGACACGCUGUCAUUUUCCAUUUCCGUUCCUGGAUCUACGGAGUCUUCUAAGAGAUUUUGCAAUGAGGAGAAGCAUUGUUUUCAAACUAUAUAACUGAGCCUUAUUUAUAAUUAGGGAUAUUAUCAAAAUAUGUAACCAUGAGGCCCCUCAGGUCCUGAUCAGUCAGAAUGGAUGCUUUCACCAGCAGACCCGGCCAUGUGGCUGCUCGGUCCUGGGUGCUCGCUGCUGUG
rnacentral:lncRNA from 1 species